rnacentral:rRNA from 1 species
ACGCUGGCGGCGUGCCUAAUACAUGCAAGUAGAACGCUGAAGAGAGGAGCUUGCUCUUCUUGGAUGAGUUGCGAACGGGUGAGUAACGCGUAGGUAACCUGCCUUGUAGCGGGGGAUAACUAUUGGAAACGAUAGCUAAUACCGCAUAACAAUGGAUGACCCAUGUCAUUUAUUUGAAAGGGGCAAAUGCUCCACUACAAGAUGGACCUGCGUUGUAUUAGCUAGUAGGUGAGGUAACGGCUCACCUAGGCGACGAUACAUAGCCGACCUGAGAGGGUGAUCGGCCACACUGGGACUGAGACACGGCCCAGACUCCUACGGGAGGCAGCAGUAGGGAAUCUUCGGCAAUGGGGGCAACCCUGACCGAGCAACGCCGCGUGAGUGAAGAAGGUUUUCGGAUCGUAAAGCUCUGUUGUAAGUCAAGAACGAGUGUGAGAGUGGAAAGUUCACACUGUGACGGUAGCUUACCAGAAAGGGACGGCUAACUACGUGCCAGCAGCCGCGGUAAUACGUAGGUCCCGAGCGUUGUCCGGAUUUAUUGGGCGUAAAGCGAGCGCAGGCGGUUUGACAAGUCUGAAGUUAAAGGCUGUGGCUCAACCAUAGUUCGCUUUGGAAACUGUCAAACUUGAGUGCAGAAGGGGAGAGUGGAAUUCCAUGUGUAGCGGUGAAAUGCGUAGAUAUAUGGAGGAACACCGGUGGCGAAAGCGGCUCUCUGGUCUGUAACUGACGCUGAGGCUCGAAAGCGUGGGGAGCGAACAGGAUUAGAUACCCUGGUAGUCCACGCCGUAAACGAUGAGUGCUAGGUGUUGGAUCCUUUCCGGGAUUCAGUGCCGCAGCUAACGCAUUAAGCACUCCGCCUGGGGAGUACGACCGCAAGGUUGAAACUCAAAGGAAUUGACGGGGGCCCGCACAAGCGGUGGAGCAUGUGGUUUAAUUCGAAGCAACGCGAAGAACCUUACCAGGUCUUGACAUCCCGAUGCUAUUUCUAGAGAUAGAAAGUUACUUCGGUACAUCGGUGACAGGUGGUGCAUGGUUGUCGUCAGCUCGUGUCGUGAGAUGUUGGGUUAAGUCCCGCAACGAGCGCAACCCCUAUUGUUAGUUGCCAUCAUUCAGUUGGGCACUCUAGCGAGACUGCCGGUAAUAAACCGGAGGAAGGUGGGGAUGACGUCAAAUCAUCAUGCCCCUUAUGACCUGGGCUACACACGUGCUACAAUGGUUGGUACAACGAGUUGCGAGUCGGUGACGGCAAGCUAAUCUCUUAAAGCCAAUCUCAGUUCGGAUUGUAGGCUGCAACUCGCCUACAUGAAGUCGGAAUCGCUAGUAAUCGCGGAUCAGCACGCCGCGGUGAAUACGUUCCCGGGCCUUGUACACACCGCCCGUCACACCACGAGAGUUUGUAACACCCGAAGUCGGUGAGGUAACCUUUUGGAGCCAGCCGCCUAAGGUGGGAUAGAUGAUUGG